AGGGCAGUGGGCUUGCCUCUCUCUAGGGAGGACGUUGGCCCAGCUCACUGACGAGGCUUCUCUCCAUCGCCUUGCAACUAGCACUAGGGUUCAGCCUUUAUACGCACACAGGCUGGCAUGUAGAACGGGCGAGGGAGCCCCUGGCUGGGCGAGGCCUUGGCAACCCUGCUCACCAGCAGGGGUACCCAGCCUCAGUGCCACCCACACUCACCCAGCCCUCCCUCGCUGGUGAGGGAGAGAAGGCUGUACCGAGGUGGCUCGUGAGAGCACCUGGCAGGCCGCCGCCCCAUAUCCUUGAGUGGAGUUGGAAUGGGUUUCCGAGGGAGCUCAUCGCCCCACAAGCUGUGCAGACUGGACGGGGGCUGUGUUUCCAUGAGAGCUGGGGCGCGGGCAGGAAUCCAAUCUCCCGAUUCCCAGACCAGUGCUUUGUCCCUGUCCCCCACUUGGGAUUUAAGGCCACCUAUCACGGCACUAAUAACAAUAGAUGCUAUUAUUGACAUGGUUCCUUAGUAAGUGGACGUGCCUGUCCAGCUGGGUGGCUGGACCUGGCUUUGCCCCCUUGGGUCCAUUCAGUCUCUUUUGUAGCAGAGGCAGGCGGGAGGUGGAUGGGCCAUUCAGGGGGUCCCCUGUGGGUUCCUGAUGGUGGGGCCGUGUGUCCCAGGUUGCUGGUUCCAUGGGCCUGCAGGAGGGAACCCAGCACAUGAC
rnacentral:lncRNA from 1 species